AUUCACAUUUAUCCAGCUGAGGUUUUGUCAAACACCAGGCAAUCAGUACUGAUGAAACUCCGAAGAUAAGUAAAG
rnacentral:pre_miRNA from 1 species